CGUCUAACGAAUCCUUCCUAUCCAGGAAAGAGUUAACUUUUCCUGAUGACGAUUUUAACGUCAUUUGGCUUAUCUAAAAUGUCUACCAUAACUUAGAUUUGCUGUCAGUUCAAACCGUUUGUCCCAGUCUUUGUGGCAACUACUUUGGUCGUAACUUGUAAAAUUGACAGUUCUAAACUCAAUUUCACCCCUUAUUUUACAAUGGAACCUUGUAAAAUUUAGAAAGUAAAAUUAAUUACUUAGUCUUCUCUGUCACUAGUGUCUGUGCAUUCCUUAGCUCAAGCAAGUGGUUAGUGAAAGUAAG